UUUAGUUGUGAUUUCUUGAGGAGAUGAGUUGGUAAUUGUGUGAGAAUGUUUGUGGCAGCAAAGGUCCUCCAAGAAUUAAAAGAAAUAGAUGCAUGCUUGUGGGUAAAUCUUGGAAUCCUUGGUGAUUUAGCACUAGAUAAGUUAUGGGUACGUAUUUUGGUCUUGAAAUCACAAGUAAAUAAAAGAAAUGAGAUGUGUAUUAAUUGUUUAUGUUUGUGGAAGCAAUGGUGACCAUGGGUGUGAGGCAAUUGUGAGCUAUAUGUGUGGAAUUCAAGCUAAAACAGAAAGGAAGCGUAUAAGUAGAGAAGUUGCUGUGGUGGCGUGCUAGAGGAAGUAAUGGGUGACCGGCAAGUAGAAUUAGCUAGAUACGCAUCCGAGUCAAUAGCGAAGUAGUAUCCCACUAUUGUGAGAUAGUGAUCGGCUAGCGUGCAAUCAUCGGCACUUAUGGUUCACCACGGAUAGGUAAAGGCAUCUUAUAGCAUUUCAUUCUAAGUCACUCCGCUAUUAGAGGUCGAGUCAUUCGUAGCAUAAUUUGAUUGUAAAUAGUAUUAAUGUAAAGGUAUGGUUGGAUAUUAAAAACCUUUAUGUACUUCUACAAUUAUGUUGAAUAAAAGUUGAGUUGAUUUAUCAUA